rfam:Gossypium raimondii Chr07_contig_745, whole genome shotgun sequence.
AUUCCAUGAUGAGGGCACUUUUGUAAUAACUCUUUGUACCUUUCCCAUGCUUCGUACAGGGACUCAUCAUCCAUUUGUUGGAAGGCUCUCAUUCCUCAACUU